rnacentral:rRNA from 1 species
UGAGACCUGAUGCCGAGCCGAUUGUGGUGAAGUGGAUGAUCCUAUGCUGUCGAGAAAAGCCUCUAGCGAGUUUCAUGGCGGCCCGUACCCUAAACCGACUCAGGUGGUCAGGUAGAGAAUACCGAGGCGUUCGGGUGAACUAUGGUUAAGGAACUCGGCAAAAUGCCCCCGUAACUUCGGGAGAAGGGGGGCCAUCACUGGUGAUGAGUCUUGCACUCUGAGCUGGGGGUGGCCGCAGAGACCAGCGAGAAGCGACUGUUUACUAAAAACACAGGUCCGUGCGAAGCCGUAAGGCGAUGUAUACGGACUGACGCCUGCCCGGUGCUGGAACGUUAAGGGGACCGGUUAGUGCGCUUUCGGGCGUGCGAAGCUGAGAACUUAAGCGCCAGUAAACGGCGGUGGUAACUAUAACCAUCCUAAGGUAGCGAAAUUCCUUGUCGGGUAAGUUCCGACCUGCACGAAUGGCGUAACGACUUCUCGACUGUCUCAACCAUAGGCCCGGUGAAAUUGCACUACGAGUAAAGAUGCUCGUUUCGCGCAGAAGGACGGAAAGACCCCGGGACCUUUACUACAGUUUGAUAUUGGUGUUCGGUUCGGCUUGUGUAGGAUAGGUGGGAGACUGUGAAGCGGGCACGCCAGUGUUCGUGGAGUCGUCGUUGAAAUACCACUCUGGUCGUGCUGGAUGUCUAACCUCGGUCCGUGAUCCGGAUCAGGGACAGUGUCUGAUGGGUAGUUUAACUGGGGCGGUUGCCUCCCAAAGAGUAACGGAGGCGCCCAAAGGUUCCCUCAGCCUGGUUGGUAAUCAGGUGUUGAGUGUAAGUGCACAAGGGAGCUUGACUGUGAGACCGACGGGUCGAGCAGGGACGAAAGUCGGGACUAGUGAUCCGGCGGUGGCUUGUGGAAGCGCCGUCGCUCAACGGAUAAAAGGUACCCCGGGGAUAACAGGCUGAUCUUCCCCAAGAGUCCAUAUCGACGGGAUGGUUUGGCACCUCGAUGUCGGCUCGUCGCAUCCUGGGGCUGGAGUCGGUCCCAAGGGUUGGGCUGUUCGCCCAUUAAAGCGGUACGCGAGCUGGGUUUAGAACGUCGUGAGACAGUUCGGUCCCUAUCCUCUGUGCGCGUAGGAAUAUUGAGAAGGGCUGUCCCUAGUACGAGAGGACCGGGACGGACGAACCUCUGGUGUGCCAGUUGUCCUGCCAAGGGCAUGGCUGGUUGGCUACGUUCGGAAAGGAUAACCGCUGAAAGCAUCUAAGCGGGAAGCCUGCUUCGAGAUGAGUAUUCCCACCCCCUUUGAGGGGUUAAGGCUCCCAGUAGACGACUGGGUUGAUAGGCCAGAUCUGGAAGCCCGGUAACGGGUGGAGGUGACUGGUACUAAUAGGCCGAGGGCUUGUCCUCAGUUG